rnacentral:lncRNA from 1 species
GGCUUGAGACGGCAGUCCAUCCUUGACUACGCCGCCCCGCACGUCUUUUAGUAGGGUUAUUUUUAUUUCGACCCCUUUCGGCGCGUAAGACUUGGCGUGUAGAGCCCCGAGGACGCUCUGCCGACCAACACCAAGGAGUGCCGCCAGGCCCGGGGCCCCCACAAUGCACUUGAAGCGGGUUGCAGCUCCCAGGCACUGGAUGCGGGACAAACUGACGGAUGUGUUUUCUGUUUUUGCAUUUGGUCCCUUCUUUCUCAGAGUCCCAACCUCAGAGGCAGGACAUCGGAGGAGUGGGAGCACAGAGGGAGUAAAGGAGUCAAGCCAUUGCGUGGGCAGCCUUGCCUAAACAAGUGCCAGAGUUGUUUGUUUAUUGGGUUUCUUGGUGUACAUGGUAGGUAUGUGUGUGUUCUCCUCAGCCUCCUAAGUGCGUUAACCUGGGUACGGUAUGGAGUGCCCAGGGUACAAGAACAUACGAAGUGGGUAGAGCACUUCCUUUUUUUCAGCAUUAAUGAGGACUGGGCCAAGGGUUGUUGGUUUGUUGAUUUCAUUGAAAUAUUGGUGACUCCCAACAUAAUAAAAGGUUCUCCUUUUCAGCCUGCUCCUGCUGCCUAGGCAAACAGCAUCUUUGCAUUAGUAAUCUCCAUUCUGCUUGUUUGCGAUCAGAUGUCAUCAGCGUUGAAGAAGACAGGUGAGCAUGUCUGCCUGUUCGGUGACUCCAAGGGCCAUUUUUGUUCGUCACCACAUCGUAGCACAAGAGGCAAAGGUAAGUCAUGUGAGUCGAGUGGGAUGGACCUCCUGGUUUCCUGAGGCACCAGCCUUCUUCCUACUGCGGUUGUUUAAGCCAGAUCCCAGGCAUGUCUGCUACCUCUGGUUGUUGGUUAGGUUGUUUAGUCCAAGUGUACAGGUCUAUUAAAACUGACAUAAGAAGAUAUCUGAUGAGUUUUCCAUAGGAGGCUGUUUCUGGACAGACUGCUCGUCCUGUAGCCCUCUGCAGGACAGCAUGCUUCAGAAUAGGAGAAGGUUACAGUCCUGGAACGAGGUGGACGUGAGUUAACUCCUGACUCCCAUCAUUCAUGAAUUUUGUGACCUCAGUCAAAACUGUGGAACCUUCCCUGAGGCUCCAUUUUCUCGAUAGGUGGUGAUAGUAUGCUUUCUUGUUGGGCUAAUAACAAAGUUUCAGUGAGCGUGUACUGCCUGGCGCUUAACUGUGCUACCUGACACUGAAGGGAGAUAGAUGGUCCCUGACUUGCCACCUCCUCCUUCCCUCUCCAAACUUAAUAUCCAAGGUCAAGGAAACUGCCAAGGCAGGUUUCUUUCUGUGUGGACAGGUUUCCUCUGUUGGGAACGCCUCUGUGUGAACCAGUGGAGUGACCCCUGAGUCACUUCUGUUCUCCCUGGAUUUAAGGUCUUGACCUGUCCCUAGUCUUUUACACAUGUAA